rnacentral:rRNA from 1 species
UCCGGAGGGUGCAAUCGUUGUUCGGAAUUACUGGGCGUAAAGGGCGCGUAGGCGGUGCAGUAAGUCAGAUGUGAAAGCCCUGGGCUCAACCCAGGAAGUGCAUUUGAAACUGCUGUACUUGAGUAUGGGAGAGGAGAGUGGAAUUCCCAGUGUAGAGGUGAAAUUCGUAGAUAUUGGGAGGAACACCCGUGGCGAAGGCGACUCUCUGGACCAAUACUGACGCUGAGGCGCGAAAGCGUGGGGAGAAAACAGG